UUUGGGAGAAAAUUAGAAAAUCUUAGUGUGUCUAUAGGUACACAGUGAUGUUCUGCCACGGAUGGCAGAACAAGGCAGCAUCGAGUCAUGGAUGACUCGUUGUUGCCGGUCACGUCACUCCGAGAAAAUCUAACCCAGACACACUUAGACUUUUCUUAUUUUCGUACAAC
ncrna:Roseburia intestinalis L1-82 TwoGGAY RNA